rnacentral:misc_RNA from 1 species
CUGGAACACCGGAGGCGAAGGCGGUCCAAACGUUAUUCGGAUUUACUGGGCUUAAAGAGUUCGUAGGCGGCUAAGUAAGUGGGGUGUGAAAUCCCUCGGCUCAACCGAGGAACUGCGCUCCAAACUACUUAGCUAGAGGAAGAUAGAGGUAAGCGGAACAGAUGGUGGAGCGGUGAAAUGCGUUGAUAUCAUCUGGAACACCGGAG